rnacentral:lncRNA from 1 species
UUGGAUUAAAAAAAGUCACAUAAAUUGCUGCUGGAGUAGGUUUCAGUGCUAACUCUUUUGGUACAGAUUUGGUGUAGCUUUCAAUUUUAAUUUCAAUGUAGUGCUGGCUGAAAUUGGCAAAUAAAUUGAAUACAAAGUGGUGUCCCUGGUUGUUUGAAAGCUGAAGCAUGAAAAUUAUAGUGAGCAGGAGAGUUAAACAAGCAAAAUGCUGUCAAUUCUGAUUUUGCUAUUCGUG